rnacentral:lncRNA from 1 species
AUCCCCCCAUCUUUGGACUCCCAAAUUGAAACCCUCUUUCUCUUCACACCCCAUUCCGAUCUUGUGCUCCUCCUCUCUCUCUGAUUGCCAUUGGUGGGAUCCAUCAGUCCGAGCUUUAAAGCGAUAACCAUCGGUGCUCCGUCAUCUAUGAAACGUUUUUCGCCUCUGAUAUUUGCGUCUUCCAUCAGUUCGAUUUAAGAUAUUCUCAUUUUCCUAAUAUAUAUUUUAUAUAUAGACAAAUGAUGUUGUUGUUGCUACUGCUUUGUCGUUCUCUGGAUUGUUUAUCGGCUUUCUGAUAUGGU